rnacentral:rRNA from 1 species
UGCAAGUCGAGUGCGCAGUUUCCUGUAGCAAUACAGGGGAUGGGCGCACGGCGCACGGGUGCGUAACACGUGGGUAACCUGCCCUCUGAUGGGGGAUAACCCCGCGAAAGCGGGGCUAAUACCGCAUGACAUUCCGAGAAUCUCGGUUCUUGGAUUCAAAGCCCGCAAGGGCGUCGGAGGAGGGGCCCGCGCCCGAUUAGCUUGUUGGUGAGGUAACGGCUCACCAAGGCUGUGAUCGGUAGCCGGUCUGAGAGGACGACCGGCCACACUGGAACUGAGACACGGUCCAGACUCCUACGGGAGGCAGCAGUGGGGAAUCUUGCGCAAUGGGCGAAAGCCUGACGCAGCGACGCCGCGUGGGGGAUGAAGCCCUUCGGGGUGUAAACCCCUUUCGACCCGGACGAAUGGCCCGCAAGGGAGUUGACGGUACGGGUAGAAGAAGCCCCGGCUAACUACGUGCCAGCAGCCGCGGUAAAACGUAGGGGGCCAGCGUUGCUCGGAAUUACUGGGCGUAAAGGGUCCGUAGGCGGUGUGGCAAGUCGGGAGUGAAAUCUCAUGGCCUAACUGUGAGACUGCUUCCGAAACUGCUGUGCUCGAGUGCGGGAGAGGCGAGUGGAAUUGCCGGUGUAGCGGUGAAAUGCGUAGAUAUCGGCAGGAACACCCGUGGCGAAGGCGGCUCGCUGGACCGCAACUGACGCUGAGGGACGAAAGCUAGGGGAGCAAACAGGAUUAGAUACCCUGUAGUCCUAGCCCUAAACCAUCAGGACUUGGCGUGCAUCCCGUUUGGGGUGCGUGCCGGAGCUAACGCGUUAAGUCCUGCGCCUGGGGAGUACGGUCGCAAGGCUGAAACUCAAAGGAAUUGACGGGGGCCCGCACAAGCGG